UACGUAUGGGGCAAGCGUUAUCCGGAUUUACUGGGUGUAAAGGGAGCGUAGGUGGUUUGGCAAGUCAGAUGUGAAAGCCCGGGGCUCAACCCCGGUAAGUGCAUUUGAAACUGCCAAACUAGAGUGCAGGAGAGGUAAGUGGAAUUCCUAGUGUAGCGGUGAAAUGCGUAGAUAUUAGGAGGAACACCAGUGGCGAAGGCGACUUACUGGACUGUAACUGACACUGAGGCUCGAAAGCGUGGGGAGCAAACAGG
rnacentral:rRNA from 1 species